rnacentral:rRNA from 1 species
AUUGAACGCUGGCGGCAGGCUUAACACAUGCAAGUCGAGCGCCCCGCAAGGGGAGCGGCAGACGGGUGAGUAACACGUGGGGAUCUGCCCGAUGGUACGGAAUAAUUCCGGGAAACUGGGACUAAUACCGUAUGUGCCCGCAAGGGGAAAGAUUUAUCGCCAUCGGAUGAACCCGCGUCAGAUUAGCUAGUUGGUGUGGUAAAGGCGCACCAAGGCGACGAUCUGUAGCUGGUCUGAGAGGAUGAUCAGCCACACUGGGACUGAGACACGGCCCAGACUCCUACGGGAGGCAGCAGUGGGGAAUAUUGGACAAUGGGCGCAAGCCUGAUCCAGCCAUGCCGCGUGAGUGAUGAAGGCCUUAGGGUUGUAAAGCUCUUUCGCCGACGAAGAUAAUGACGGUAGUCGGAGAAGAAGCCCCGGCUAACUUCGUGCCAGCAGCCGCCGUAACAC